GAUGAACGCUGGCGGCGUGCAUAAUACAUGCAAGUCGAACGAGAGGCGGACGGGUGAGUAAUGUCUGGGAAACUGCCCGAUGGAGGGGGAUAAAUACUGGAAACGGUAGCUAAUACCGCACAACAUCGGAUGUGCCAAGAGGGGAGGAGCUAGUAGGUGGGGUAACGGCGCACCUAGGCGACGAUCCCUAGCUGGUCUGAGAGGAUGACCAGCCACACUGGAACAGAGACACGUUCCAGAAUCCUCCGGGAGGCAGCAGUGGGGAAUAUUGCACAAUGGGCGCAAGCCUGAUGCACCCAUGCCGCGUGUAUGAAGAAGGCCUUCGGGUUGUAAAGUACUUUCAGCGAGGAGGCGUUACUCGCAGAAGAAGCACCGGCUAACUCCGUGCCAGCAGCCGCGGUAAUUC
rnacentral:rRNA from 1 species